AGAUGGUGCUGCAGGUUGGGCAGUUGCGGGAAUGCUUGCCAGUGCAGCUGCAGUGGUGCAGGAAGGAACUGGAGCUGGCUGCUGUGGAAGCGGUGAGCACAGGUGUCACCGGUGUGCGGGUGUGUUGGUGGACUGCUGGCUGGGCACUCCGGCUGCGGCCCUCCCUGCCUGCUCUGCGUCUGCAGGGCUUGCCCACCUCCCUCACCCUCCACAUGGUCACACAAGUGCCUGGUUUUGCAUUUGGUGGAAAUCCCUGCUACUCUGGGCACAGUGAUAAGGGCACAGGCCAUGGUACUUCAGCAGAUGGCGAGGAAAGCCCCAUGUCUCCUAUAGAGUUUGCUGCACAGGGAACAGGCAUGGGCCUUCUCACCUGUGGGCACCUCCUGGGGCUGACUAGCUGGGAACUUUGCAUGAGGCAGCCUCCACAGGCCUGGCAGGAAAGGGGUCAUUUGCCAAUAUGGACUCAGCUGUGGGUUGCUAGGUGUUUGCUGCGUUGGAAGGCCUUGCCAUAGUCACCGUACGCAUAAGGCUUGCUUUCCUGGAGAGAACUGUGCUGCCAGGAUCUUCUGAGGACUGGUGGUCCUUGUCCGUGGCAUGGAUGCUCAGGUGACGCUCUAAGCUGGCGCUCACUGGAAGAACUGCCUGCAGUGGGAGCAGACGGCAACUGCCAUCUUUGGCACUUUCAUCUUGUCUUCUGGGUCUGGCAUUGGAUUUUGUUCCUGGGCAUGUAGGUGCCAGUAGGUGUUGCAUGAGGCUGGACCAACACUGGAAGCCCUAGGCACACUCAGUGCAUUGGAAGGUGAGCUCAGAGGACAGCGUUGACUUUGCCACGUAGGAGCUCUGGUGGCAGUGGUGGCUGCAGAGGUGACGCGUGUGUGGCUGCUCAUUUUUGUGUGUGUGCGUGUGCAACUUGAGGGUGGAGCUGAGCCUUGGGGUCUCUUCGUACCACAGACACGGGAAGGAAUGAGAGCCUGGGUGAGACCAUAGCAGGUGGGCGUGUGGGUGGACAGCUGUAGAUCGCUCAUUCCACACUGUACAUAUGUUCCUCUGUCUCAGACCUUGGGGCUACUCUGGUUUCCAUAACAUCACUGCCCUACUGUCUGGGUAAGAACAGGCUCCCCGGAAACUCUAGGACUUUCCUUGUGGGGCUCUGAUGAAAUGAUGAUGAGCCAAGCAGUCUCUUUAGGCUCUCCGAUUUUAUGUUCCUCUUUGGCACUCUACUGCCAAAACCAAGAGUGUUGGCAGACCAAGCCUUCUUCUCUGAGAUCUCCUCAAAGGCAAGGACUUCAAUAAAGCUGUCACCUCUUCGUUUCUGAAAUUCUCUUUCAGCCUUAAUGGGCCCUGGGAGGGAUGGCUUUCUUGCAGGAACUGGAGUAUACUCUAGGGCUCUGGGCUCACUGGCCACUUUGAACUUGAGGCCAGUCUCCACUCUUUGGGCUCAGCAGGCCCAGUAGGCACUGGCUAAGAUAGGGAGUAAUUCAUUCAGUGGAUGCACACAGUGCUGGAGUCUGUUCUAAGGGCAGCUCCGUUCUGGGGUUGUGGCUGAGGACCUGGUAAAGGUCAUUCUCUUUCUCCGAGAUGAUGUCUACAGGGAGACAACUCUUGCUAGCACUGCAGCUCAUGUCCUCACAUGGUGUCUCCAGGCACGUCCUCCAGCAGCCUACCACCUCCCUUCCAUCCUUAAACUUCUGGUCCUGCAGGUGGUCCAGCACAUCCUGAGGCAGCCAGACAGAAACUGCCCCAGCACCAACAGCUGUACUCUCCGCUUCCGGGUGUUCAGAGCCACCCACAGCCAGUGGUUGCAGAGUUCCUGAAGCUGGCUCAGGGAUGCCCCUGGCUUCCUGAUGCUGGAAGCCAACAACCUUAUCUUUCUCCACGUUCACUGCUCUAAGCUGCUCUUGUUUCAGGGUUUCUGGGACUAGUUCUACCAGCAUCUUUCACACCUCCUGCAACUGGAUCGGACCCUUAGAACCCUUUUCUCAGCUUCUCCCACAUCUGUGGAGUCCAGAGGCUGAGAUGUUUGGGGGUUUGGAGGGAUCCAGAACAAGAACCAGCUUAGGCCAGCCAAGGGAAGGACUCCAGGAAAAUGGAACAGAAGGAGUCUUUGCUUUUCCAUGGCUGAACAACUUUAAUUGUGUUACUGCUGUUCUGAGGAUUUCAGUCCCCAUGACUUCAAAUAAAAGACCGUUAGGCAGGAAUAAGAAAAGGAAACCACCACUCUACUUUCUGUUUGGCAGAUUUUGACUCUUUCAGGGAUUUCAGGUUACUUGUUCCAAGGAUUUUGCUGGACCCAGUGAGGGAGUAUUACUGAAUAUUCUGAGAACUGUCUCUUCUGCCCUGUGAGUGACCUUCUCAGCACGGCGCCAUGCCUCAGGGGUGGCUGGAGACAGACAGGAGUCUUCUCGAGCAGGGGCAAGAGUGUGCAUGUUGGGAUGCUGUGGGGUGAGCAGUCUUCCUAUCUUCUCCAACUCUGUACUCGAGGCAUCCCAGGCAGUGUGGCUUUCCCUCAGCUGUGGAACAUUGUUUCUCUGAAGUGGCACCCAGACUGCACAGGUCUGGGGCACGGGGUGAAACAAGCCAGCAGAGGAAUAGGCACCACGCUGCUGUUAAUGGUUAGUUCAUAUAUGUUUUGAAAGAAAUUGCUAAAGACUGGGUUGGCUGAUGUAAUAGAAAACCCUUUUUGUGUUCUCCCAUAGACACUCAUUUUUUUUUCAAAGAAUAAAAAUUCAAUUCAGCUACUUGGAAUUCAGGCAGCCAUGAAAUCUUACCCACCCUCUCUUCCUCCUCCUCCUUUCCCUCCUCCUUUCUUCCUCCUCCUUUCUUUCCCCUCCCUCAUUUGAAGUUCUUUUGCAUUGGAAACAUAGUAAAUUUUCUUUUAUUAAGAAAUGACUUUGUGGUGACAAAUCUACAUAUCCAUUUUCCAUUCUUAUCCUUUAUGUUCUGUUCUCAUCAAGCUGACUGUACAGAGAUCUGACAAUUCUGUUCAUCAUGCAUUUCAAUGUUCUCCAAAGCCGAGACAUUAACCUUUUCCUUCCAUUUCCCAAUUUGCUUUUUACCCACUCAUGCUAUUUUCUCCAGACUAGGUGAAGAAAAAAAAUGUAAAAAACAUUUCUCUUCACAUCACAUGUUAUCAAAAGCCCUCUUGUGGGAUGAAGUUCAGCUCUUUCACAGUGGCCCUUUGAUAGCUAAAAAUCUGGUGUUCAGCAAUUACUUCUUUUUGAGAACUCCAAGUACAUCCAGCCUUGCAGUUUUUUUAAACAAUUGGCUCUGUUCUCUGGGUCCGUUUCUCAUCUCACUCGGCUCCCCAUAGAGACAGAAGACAGACCCUCUGUCUCUGCUGAAGGAGAACAACUGACAUUUAUGUCCCAGCUGGAAGCAGAGGGGUGGAUUGACUGAGGCAGGCUUUCGUUCUUCCUUGAGCUGAAAUUGAGAUAUGGCUUUGUUAUAUGUUUGUCUAAUCUUAUUUCAGGCUCUCCUAUACAAAUCCUAGUGGGAGAUAGAAAGCAAAGCUGCAACAUGUGUGUUGAGCUUGGAAUGAGAAACUUUAAUCCUUGCAAAAAUGGUAUUGUGUAAAUUCCAGACUGCAACGAAUCACGGUAGAUUCAGACAGUGGCGGGAACGGUUCACUUUCCCUUUUAAUAUUCAGUGUGCACAUUCAUGAAGUAACGCGACCUUCUGAAUGCAUAUUUCUUCUAAAUUUCCUUCAGGCCUGUAUUUAUUUUAUUUGCUGAAGCCCCAGUGGCUUAUAUGAAGUGCACCAGAUGUUUUUCAUCUGCAGACAGUGCACCUGACAGUCAGAGGCCGAGCAGGUUUGCUGGUGGCCAGCUGUUCACUUGUGCCCUCGGCGUCAGUAUACAUUUUAACUGCAUGCAGCAUGUAAAAGGCUCCAUUUAUUGGACACUAACGUUCUGGGCCCUCUGCUGCAGGCGUUAGCUUCAUGAGCACUUUUAUGGCUUCUAUGGUCCUAUAGAGUAUAUCUUCGUACUAUGUACUAGCUCAGCACCUUGUUGAUGAGAAAACCACGGAUUCACAAAGAUAAAUAGCCUUCCCAAUGUUACAUAGAUAGAAGUCAGAGAGCAAACCUGGGGUCUGGGUAUAAAUCAUUACUGUGUUAUAAGGUUGUCACUCCUGGACUAGCCCUCCUGCUUCUGUUAGAUAAAUCCCUGGAAGAAUGGUCUCACCUUUAGGUACUUUCAUCCCACCUCUACAAGAUUUAUACAGCAGAUAACUCCUGUAUAAGAAUGCCCUCAUCCUUGGGAUUCCUACCCUGUGUCAACUUAAAAAAAGGCUCAGCCAUUUUGACCUCCAUAAAAGUAUUUUUUCUUCUCCAAGCAUCUCUCUAUGUGUUCACAUUUAUGCAUGAGUUUUAGUAAGUUUUACUGAGGAUAUGGGGAUUUGGAGGGCCAUUUCCAUCUUUACAUUUCAUAUAAACUCAUUUGAAACGAUCUGCAUUUCGGAAAUCCGUAUUGCUUGUGUAAUAUUUGUUGUCACGUGGUCUCCUGCUAAACCUGCUGCCUUUAGAGGUUUCCUUUAAGAAGGUUUCCCAAAGAGAAUGCUGGCGCUGCCUCUUCAAGUAGUUUCUUUUCAAAUUCUACCGCUGAAUUCAAAGACUAAAAGACCUGUGUUGUCACUCCCCUCUCCCUCUUUUUUCCCUUCCUCCCUUCUCUCUCCUUCCCUUUCUCCUCCCUUCCCUCUUCCUCUAAAGCACAAUAAAAAUAGAAAGUGUUGGAUUAACUGAUUAUUUUCUAGCAUCAACAAAAAUAUGUAGAGAAGAGAGCCUGGGAGAGCAGAGGAUUAGCGUGAAGCAGGACUGACCCAGCGGAAGUUUGGCAAGCAGCAAACUCUCGGUAUAGACACGUCGUCAUUGCUGCAAUUAUUCUUCUAAUGAUAAAAUUGAUGCAUAUAAACUCAUUCUAGGAAUAAAACUGGAAAAUGUAACAAAGCUAUGAAUAAACAUACAA